AAGGAUCAUUAUUGAAUCUUCAAGUCGACUCUCUCUGUGCUGGUGGGAAACUACAUGUGCACGUUGGGUCGCAAAUUUACAAAUCAUGCGAAUUAAAUUCAGAGAGUUUGGGAGGUAGUCCGGCAAGGCUUUCACAGCCUUGUGUUUCCUCGGAAUUUAUGAACUUAAUCUUCACACUCUCUGAAUUACCCAGAGUGUCUUGAGAAAACACACAUUACUUGUGUUUAGUCUGUUAAGGCUGCGUCUCUCACUCAGUCCAGUUUCCUGGUCUCCGUAGGUCAAAUGGCCUGUGAGCCGCUAAGGGAUCACGGAUGAGUCGGAUGAUUAGCGAAACAUCUCGAAGGCCUCUGGAAGGCCCUUGAUCAGUCACUAUUACAGUAUGAUUGAGUGGCUCACUUUUUACACUCCAUGUCAUUGAAUGUCUAUGUGUCUUGAUACACAACUUAACAACUUUCAACAACGGAUCUCUUGGCUCUCGCAUCGAUGAAGAACGCAGCGAAAUGCGAUAAGUAAUGUGAAUUGCAGAAUUCAGUGAAUCAUCGAAUCUUUGAACGCACCUUGCACCCUUUGGUAUUCCAAAGGGUACACCCGUUUGAGCGUCAUUGUAAUCUCACCUUUGGUAUUUUUUGGAUGCCCAAGAGAAGUGGAAAUGGAUGUUGCCGUGUUUCUAGACAUGGCUCAUCUGAAAAGUCUCAGUGCAUGGCCGUGACAGGCUAGAGGUGCUUGAUGUGAUAAUUAAUUAAUUCAUCAUUGCAAUCCUCUUCAAGUUCUGACUUGGUAUUAGUGUGCUGUCUAAUCGUCCAGUCUCUGGACAAACUUACAUUGACAAUUUGACCUCAAAUCGGGUGGGACUACCCGCUGAACUUAAGCAUAUCAAUAAGCGGAGGAAAAGAAACUAACAAGGAUUCCCCUAGUAACGGCGAGUGAAGAGGGAAGAGCUCAAAUUUUGAAUCUGGGGUCUUUGACCUCCGAGUUGUAAUCUAGAGAAGUGUUUUCUGUGUUGGACCAUGUACAAGUCCCCUGGAAUGGGGCGUCAUAGAGGGUGAGAAUCCCGUAUAUGCCAUGGACUACCAGUGCUCUGUGAUACACUCUCAACGAGUCGAGUUGUUUGGGAAUGCAGCUCAAAAUGGGUGGUAAAUUCCAUCUAAAGCUAAAUAUUGGCGAGAGACCGAUAGCGAACAAGUACCGUGAGGGAAAGAUGAAAAGCACUUUGGAAAGAGAGUGAAACAGUACGUGAAAUUGUUGAAAGGGAAGCGUUUGAAGUCAGUCACAUCGGUCAAAGUUCAGCCUUGCUUCUGCUUGGUGUAUUCUCUGGCAGAUGGGUCAGCAUCAAUUUUGAUCGAGGGAGAAAGACUUGGGUGAAUGUGGCUGUCUCGUACAGUGUUAUAGCCCCUUGUUGUAUGUCUCGAUUGGGAUUGAGGAAUGCAGUGUGCCUUCUUGGCCGGGGUUCGCGCCCUCGGUACACAC
rnacentral:rRNA from 1 species